UGCCUAAUACAUGCAAGUCGAACGGGGAAAGCUUUCGGGUGAGUACUAGUGGCGCACGGGUGAGUAACGCGUGGAUAAUCUGCCUUAGAGUGGGGGAUAACUAGUCGAAAGAUUAGCUAAUACCGCAUAAGACCACAAGAACUGCGGUUCAAGGGGUCAAAGGUUUUUCGCUCUAAGAUGAGUCCGCGUAAGAUUAGCUAGUUGGUGAGGUAAUGGCUCACCAAGGCGACGAUCUUUAACUGGUCUGAGAGGAUGAUCAGUCACACUGGAACUGAGACACGGUCCAGACUCCUACGGGAGGCAGCAGUAGGGAAUAUUGCACCCUUGAGGAAACUCUGAUGCAGCGACGCCGCGUGAGUGAUGGAUCCUUCGGGUCGUAAAGCUC
rnacentral:rRNA from 1 species